GCAUAAUAAUUUGCUUUUUAAUUGAAGGCUAGAAUGAACGGAUAAACGAAAUUUAAACUGUGUCACUUAUAAUGAUAGAAAUUAUACUUUAGGUGAAGAUACCUAAAUUCUUUUGAAAGACAAGAAGACCCUAUAGAAUUUAAAUUUUAUUUAUCCUCGAUAAAUAAUAAUAUUUUAGUUGGGGCGACUAGAGAUUAAAAAAAACAUCUCGUUAUUAUACGAAUCUUAUUCUUAUUAAAGAUCCUGUUUUCAGAUUAUAAAAAUAAAUUACCUUAGGGAUAACAGGCUUAUCCUCCUUAAAAGUUCUUAUAGACAGGAGGGUUUGGCACCUCGAUGUUGGCUUAGAGUAACCUAAUAAUGCAGAAGUUAUUAAUGGUUAGUUUGUUCAACUAUUAAAUCUCU
rnacentral:rRNA from 1 species